AGCUUUGCGCAGUGGCAGUAUUGUAGCCAAUGAGGUUUAUCCGAGGCGCAAUUAUUGCUAAUUAAAACCAGUCUCUGGGGAUGCCUGGGUGGCUCAGUGGGUUAAGCCGCUGCCUUCAGCUCAGGUCAUGAUCUCAGGGUC